rnacentral:RNase_P_RNA from 1 species
GUGAGCUAGCGAGCAAGUUACUUCUGGUAAUAUAUAUGACGAAGAGGAAACUCCUCCCUCACUACGGGCACCUGAAUUAGCGAUAAUUAGAAGGAGACUUCUGGCAACGAAAUAGAAAAGGAUCCAGUUGAGAUCAAAGGCAAUGAUGAUUAGUAAUCUGAGUGAUUUCAAUCUUGGAGUGAAACUGUCGACCUAGGUGGAGAAAGGCCAAACAGAGUUAGGAACCCGUACAUUCACUCAGGUAGGCUGCUUAGCUAAAUCUUGCUUAAAACAAAAGGAGGGUUACUACUAGGACAC